rnacentral:tRNA from 1 species
GAUUAAAUGGCUGAUAAUAGGUAAUAAAUUGUAAAUUUAUUUAUAAGAUAAAAAAUCUUUUUAAUCA